UCCAGCUCCAAUAGCGUAUAUUAAAGUUGUUGCGGUAAAAAAGCUCGUAGUUGGAUUUCUGUUGAGAACAACCGGUCCACACAACGUGUGCGCAUCUGGCUUGGUCUCGGCAUCCUCUCGCAGCACUGCUCUGCGCUUGAUUGCGUGGACAGGACUUCGGGACUUUUACUUUGAGGAAAUUAGAGUGUUCACGGCAGGCUAUCGCCAGGAUACAUUAGCAUGGAAUAAUACUAUAGGAUCUUGAUCCUAUUUUGUUGGUUUCUAGGAGCAAGAUAAUGAUUAAUAGGGACAAUUGGGGGCAUUCGUAUCAACACGUCAGAGGUGGAAUUCUUGGAUUGUGUUGCGACGAACUACUGCGAAAGCAUUUGCCAAGGAUGUUUUCAUUGAUCAAGAACGAAAGUUAGGGGAUCGAAGAUGAUUAGAUACCGUCGUAGUCUUAACCAUAAACUAUGCCAACUAGAGAUGGGACAUCGUUCACAUACGACUUGUUCCGCACCUUAUGAGAUAUCAAAGUCUUUGGGUUCCGGGGGGAGUAUGGUCGCAAGUCUGAAACUUAAAGGAAUUGACGGAAGGGCACCACCAGGAGUGGAGCCUGCGGCUUAAUUUGACUCAACACGGGGAAACUCACCAGGUCCAGACAUAAUAAGGAUUGACAGAUUGAUAGCUCUUUCUUGAUUUUAUGGGUGGUGGUGCAUGGCCGUUCUUAGUUCGUGGAGUGAUUUGUCUGCUUAAUUGCGUUAACGAACGAGACCUUAACCUGCUAAAUAGGAGCGCAUAUCUCCGGAUAAGCGCCUUUCUUCUUAGAGGGACUUUAUGCGUUUCAGCAUGAGGAAGUUUGAGGCUAAAAC
rnacentral:rRNA from 1 species